rnacentral:rRNA from 1 species
AGUCGAACGGUGAAGCCGAGCUUGUUUGGUGGAUCAGUGGCGAACGGGUGAGAAAGACGGGAGCAACCUGCCCUGGACUCUGGGAUAAGCGCUGUAAACGGCGUCUAAUACUGGAUAUGAGCCUCUUCCGCAUGGUGGGGGUUGGAAAGAUUUUUUGGUCUGGGAUGGGCUCGCGGCCUAUCAGCUUGUUGGUGAGGUAAUGGCUCACCAAGGCGUCGACGGGUAGCCGGCCUGAGAGGGUGACCGGCCACACUGGGACUGAGACACGGCCCAGACUCCUACGGGAGGCAGCAGUGGGGAAUAUUGCACAAUGGGCGAAAGCCUGAUGCAGCAACGCCGCGUGAGGGAUGACGGCCUUCGGGUUGUAAACCUCUUUUAGCAGGGAAGAAGCGAAAGUGACGGUACCUGCAGAAAAAGCGCCGGCUAACUACGUGCCAGCAGCCGCGGUAAUACGUAGGGCGCAAGCGUUAUCCGGAAUUAUUGGGCGUAAAGAGCUCGUAGGCGGUUUGUCGCGUCUGCUGUGAAAUCCCGAGGCUCAACCUCGGGCCUGCAGUGGGUACGGGCAGACUAGAGUGCGGUAGGGGAGAUUGGAAUUCCUGGUGUAGCGGUGGAAUGCGCAGAUAUCAGGAGGAACACCGAUGGCGAAGGCAGAUCUCUGGGCCGUAACUGACGCUGAGGAGCGAAAGGGUGGGGAGCAAACAGGCUUAGAUACCCUGGUAGUCCACCCCGUAAACGUUGGGAACUAGUUGUGGGGACCAUUCCACGGUUUCCGUGACGCAGCUAACGCAUUAAGUUCCCGCCUGGGGAGUACGGCCGCAAGGCUAAACUCAAGGAAUUGACGGGGACCCGCACAAGCGGCGGAGCAUGCGGAUUAAUUCGAUGCAACGCGAAAACCUUACCAAGGCUUGACAUACACCAGAACGGGCCAGAAAUGGUCAACUCUUUGGACACUUGGUGAACAGGUGGUUGCAUGGUUGUCGUCAGCUUCGUGUCGUGGAGAUGUUGAGAUAAGUCCUGCAAACGAGGAGCAACCCUCGUUCCUAUGUGCAGCACGGUAUGGUGGGGGACUCCAUGGGAUACUGGCUGGGGGUCAACUCGGCAGGCAGGUGGGGGAGAUG